GCAAGUCGAACGGUAACAUUUCUAGCUUGCUAGCAGAUGACGAGUGGCGGACGGGUGAGUAAUGCUUAGGAAUUUGCCUUUUAGUUGGGGACAACAGUUGGGAACGACUGCUAAUACCGCAUCAUACCUACGGGUCAAAGGGCGCUUCGGCUCUCGCUAGAAGAGAAGCCUAAGUGAGAUUAGCUAGUUGGUGAGGUAAAGGCUCACCAAGGCGACGAUCUCUAGCUGUUCUGAGAGGAAGAUC
rnacentral:rRNA from 1 species